rnacentral:rRNA from 1 species
GACGAACGCUGGCGGCGUGCUUAACACAUGCAAGUCGAACGGUGAAGCGCCUUCCUUUUUGGUGGGUGUGGAUGAGUGGCGAACGGGUGAGUAACACGUGAGUAACCUGCCCCCUUCUUCUGGAUAACCGCAUGAAAGUGUGGCUAAUACGGGAUAUUCUGGGUCUGUCGCAUGAUGGGUCUGGGAAAGAUAUUGUUUCGGUGGGGGAUGGGCUCGCGGCCUAUCAGCUUGUUGGUGGGGUGAUGGCCUACCAAGGCGGUGACGGGUAGCCGGCCUGAGAGGGUGGACGGUCACACUGGGACUGAGACACGGCGCAGACUCCUACGGGAGGCAGCAGGGGGGAAUAUUGAACAAUGGGCGCAAGCCUGAUGCAGCGACGCCGCGUGAGGGAUGGAGGCCUUCGGGUUGUGAACCUCUUUCGCCAGUGAAGCAGGCCUGCCUCGUUUGUGGGUGGGUUGACGGUAGCUGGAUAAGAAGCGCCGGCUAACUACGUG